AUUAGAUAUCUGACCAUUAAAUUUCUAUUUGUAAUUUGGUUUCGACAACUCGACUCAUUUCAUACAAAUUAUUACCUUAAUGUAUAUGUGCGAUACUCUCUCUCUACGUAGGGAAUCAUGGAAACCCCUACUCAACUCGUAAUACUGGCAGGCUGCGAUUGCCAGCUGAGAAAACAAAUGCCGAAAUAUAGAUCAUGGAUUUCAUUGCACGUGAUAUGCGGUAUCACUUGACAGAAGACAAUGCAAAUCCCGUUUCAAGGGUCCAUUCAUGGAUGUAAAAAUACAUUUACUGACUAAUGAUCGCCCCCUCUCUAUACUGUAAUCCUUAUCCACCCAAAGUGACACACCGUUAUGUGACUGACAGUUGCAAGAAGGAUUAUCCAGCAGUGGACUUUUACAGCGACUUUUUGGUUCUUUGUGUAUAUGGUAUAUGCCUGCAAUAUGCCUAACUAUACAUGAAUUGCGAAUUAAUCGAACUUAAAUGUGAAUUAAUCGGAAUUGUGAAUUUACAAGAGUGCAUAAAGUUUUUAU